UGAAUACGAGAUGCUACGGCGUCGAAGCAGUGUAUGUCAGACUUCCAAGAAAAGCUCGCAAUGUCAUAAAUAAAGAAUGCCUGUACCAUAACCGACACAGGUGGGUAGGUAGAGUAUACUAAGGGGCGCGAGAUAACUCUCUCUAAGGAACUCGGCAAAAUAACUCCGUAACUUCGGGAGAAGGAGUGCCUUCUUUAAGAAGGUUGCAAUAACAAGAUCCAAGCAACUGUUUAUCAAAAACACAGGUCUCCGCUAAGUCGUAAGACGAUGUAUGGGGGCUGACGCCUGCCCAGUGCCAGAAGGUUAAAGAAGUUGGUUAGCUUUUGCGAAGCUGAUGACUGAAGCCCUGGUGAACGGCGGCCGUAACAAUAACGGUCCUAAGGUAGCGAAAUUCCUUGUCGGGUAAGUUCCGACCCGCACGAAAGGCGUAAUGAUUUGGAUACUGUCUCGGAGAGGGACUCGGUGAAAUAGACUUGUCUGUGAAGAUGCGGACUACCUGCACCAGGACAGAAAGACCCUAUGAAGCUUUACUGUAACUUAAAAUUGAAAUUGGACUUUAUUUGCGCAGUAUAGGUGGAAGGCGUUGAAAGUAAUCUUGCGGGAUUAGUGGAGCCAUCAGUGAGAUACCACUCCUAUAAUGUUAGAUUUCUAACUUUGGAUCAUGAUCUGGUCAAAGAACAGUUUCAGGCGGGCAGUUUGACUGGGGCGGUCGCCUCCCAAAUGGUAACGGAGGCGUACAAAGGUUUCCUCUGAACGGGUAGAAAUCGUAUCUAGAGUGUAAAGGCAUAAGGAAGCUUGACUGUGAGACCUACAAGUCGAGCAGGGACGAAAGUCGGUCUUAGUGAUCUGACGGUGCUGAGUGGAAAGGCCGUCACUCAACGGAUAAAAGUUACUCUAGGAUAACAGGCUGAUCUCCCCCAAGAGUUCACAUCGACGGGGAGGUUUGGCACCUCGAUGUCGGCUCAUCGCAUCCUGGGGCGGUAGUACGUCCCAAGGGUUGGGCUGUUCGCCCAUGAAAGCGGUACGCGAGCUGGGUUCAGAACGUCGUGAGACAGUUCGGUCCAUAUCCGGUGUAGGCGUUAGAAUAUUGAGAGGAGCCUUCUUUAGUACGAGAGGACCGAGAAGGACAUACCUCUGGUGUACCAGUUAUCGUGCCAACGGUAAACGCUGGGUAGCUAUGUAUGGAGAGGAUAACCGCUGAAAGCAUCUAAGUGGGAAGCCCACCUCAAGAUGAGUAUUCC
rnacentral:rRNA from 1 species